rnacentral:tRNA from 2 species
GCGCCCGUAGCUCAGCUGGAUAGAGCAGCGGCCUUCUAAGCCGCGGGUCGCAGGUUCGAAUCCUGCCGGGCGUGCCA